UCUCUUGAGAGCGGCGGACGGGUGAGUAAUGCCUAGGAAUCUGCCUGGUAGUGGGGGAUAACGUUCGGAAACGGACGCUAAUACCGCAUACGUCCUACGGGAGAAAGCAGGGGACCUUCGGGCCUUGCGCUAUCAGAUGAGCCUAGGUCGGAUUAGCUAGUUGGUGAGGUAAUGGCUCACCAAGGCGACGAUCCGUAACUGGUCUGAGAGGAUGAUCAGUCACACUGGAACUGAGACACGGUCCAGACUCCUACGGGAGGCAGCAGUGGGGAAUAUUGGACAAUGGGCGAAAGCCUGAUCCAGCCAUGCCGCGUGUGUGAAGAAGGUCUUCGGAUUGUAAAGCACUUUAAGUUGGGAGGAAGGGUUGUAGAUUAAUACUCUGCAAUUUUGACGUUACCGACAGAAUAAGCACCGGCUAACUCUGUGCCAGCAGCCGCGGUAAUACAGAGGGUGCAAGCGUUAAUCGGAAUUACUGGGCGUAAAGCGCGCGUAGGUGGUUUGUUAAGUUGGAUGUGAAAUCCCCGGGCUCAACCUGGGAACUGCAUUCAAAACUGACUGACUAGAGUAUGGUAGAGGGUGGUGGAAUUUCCUGUGUAGCGGUGAAAUGCGUAGAUAUAGGAAGGAACACCAGUGGCGAAGGCGACCACCUGGACUAAUACUGACACUGAGGUG
rnacentral:rRNA from 1 species